GAGCGCACAAAAAUAAGCCUGGCUUUCACACCUCUCCUCCUCUCUGUGGGUUGGAGCUGUUUGGGUACCAGACAUUCACCCUGGUGAACUCAGUGUGCAACAUCAUCAACUUCAGAGCCACAGAAGGUGCUAAUUAAAACAGCUUCACCCCACCAAGUCAGUGUUGCAUCAAGAGGCCAAUGGUUUCCUGCAGAAAACAGCUGUGUUUCCACUAAUGAGCCUCCAGAUCAGCAAAACGCGGUGUCUGUGCACAGUUGUAGCUGCAGCUCUGGCACGUGAGCCUCGAAGACCUUUUGAUAAAUCUUACUGCUGUUUCUUGGA